rnacentral:rRNA from 1 species
UACAGAGGUCUCAAGCGUUGUUCGGAUUCAUUGGGCGUAAAGGGUGCGUAGGUGGCGCCGUAAGUCGGGUGUGAAAUUUCGGAGCUUAACUCCGAAACUGCAUUCGAUACUGCGGUGCUUGAGGACUGGAGAGGAGACUGGAAUUCAUGGUGUAGCAGUGAAAUGCGUAGAGAUCAUGAGGAAGACCAGUGGCGAAGGCGGGUCUCUGGACAGAUCCUGACACUGAGGCACGAAGGGCAGGGGAGCAAACGGG